rnacentral:rRNA from 1 species
GACUCUCGGCAACGGAUAUCUCGGCUCUUGCAUCGAUGAAGAACGUAGCGAAAUGCGAUACUUGGUGUGAAUUGCAGAAUCCCGUGAACCAUCGAGUUUUUGAACGCAAGUUGCGCCCGAAGCCACUCGGCCGAGGGCACGUCUGCCUGGGCGUCACGUAU